ensembl:misc_RNA Metazoa_SRP Metazoan signal recognition particle RNA
GCUGGGCGCGGUGGCCCACGCCUGUAAUCCCAGCACUACGGGAGGCCGAGUCGGGUGGAUCACCUGAGGUCAGGAGUUUGGGACUAGUCUGUAAUCCCAGCACUUUGGGAGGCCGAGGCGGGCAGCUCACCUGAGGUUGGGAGUUUGGGACCAGCCUGACCGACAUGGAGAAACCCCGUCUCUA